rnacentral:rRNA from 1 species
UACGUAGGUGGCAAGCGUUAUCCGGAAUUAUUGGGCGUAAAGCGCGCGCAGGCGGUUUCUUAAGUCUGAUGUGAAAGCCCACGGCUCAACCGUGGAGGGUCAUUGGAAACUGGGGAACUUGAGUGCAGAAGAGAAAAGCGGAAUUCCACGUGUAGCGGUGAAAUGCGUAGAGAUGUGGAGGAACACCAGUGGCGAAGGCGGGUUGCUGGGCUGAUACUGACGCUGAGGCGCGAAAGCCAGGGGAGCGAACGGG